rnacentral:rRNA from 1 species
UACGUAGGCAGCGAGCGUUGUUCGGAGUUACUGGGCGUAAAGGGUGUGUAGGCGGUUCUUUAAGUUUGGGGUGAAAUCUCCCGGCUCAACCGGGAGGGUGCGCCGAAUACUGAGGGACUUGGAGUGCGGGAGAGGCGAGUGGAAUUCCUGGUGUAGCGGUGAAAUGCGCAGAUAUCAGGAGGAACACCGAUUGCGAAGGCAGCUCGCUGGAACGUAACUGACGCUGAGACGCGAAAGCGUGGGGAGCAAACAGG